GUUUGGUAACUCCUCCCACACCAGUUUCUUCCUGUUUUGAUGAGGGGAGCGGCACAUCUCUGACAUACAGGCAGCCGAAAUGACUGGUUUCACUUUCGUUUCGUUCACGGAAAGCGCUCCAGAAACAGAAUCUCUUCUUCUUCGUUGAAGUUGUCGUGAAAGAGACUUUACGACAUUCACGUGUAAUGAAUGACGAAGAGACAGACAUCAGGACUAAGGAAAGAGACGGAUGAGAAAUCAGCAUGUCCAGCAGA